UGGGCGUUAAGUUGCAGGGUAUAGACCCGAAACCCGGUGAUCUAGCCAUGGGCAGGUUGAAGGUUGGGUAACACUAACUGGAGGACCGAACCGACUAAUGUUGAAAAAUUAGCGGAUGACCUGUGGCUGGGGGUGAAAGGCCAAUCAAACCGGGAGAUAGCUGGUUCUCCCCGAAAGCUAUUUAGGUAGCGCCUCGUGAAUUCAUCUCCGGGGGUAGAGCACUGUUUCGGCUAGGGGGCCAUCCCGGCUUACCAACCCGAUGCAAACUGCGAAUACCGGAGAAUGUUAUCACGGGAGACACACGGCGGGUGCUAACGUCCGUCGUGAAGAGGGAAACAACCCAGACCGCCAGCUAAGGUCCCAAAGUCAUGGUUAAGUGGGAAACGAUGUGGGAAGGCCCAGACAGCCAGGAUGUUGGCUUAGAAGCAGCCAUCAUUUAAAGAAAGCGUAAUAGCUCACUGGUCGAGUCGGCCUGCGCGGAAGAUGUAACGGGGCUAAACCAUGCACCGAAGCUGCGGCAGCGACACUGUGUGUUGUUGGGUAGGGGAGCGUUCUGUAAGCCUGUGAAGGUGUGUCGUGAGGCAUGCUGGAGGUAUCAGAAGUGCGAAUGCUGACAUAAGUAACGAUAAAGCGGGUGAAAAGCCCGCUCGCCGGAAGACCAAGGGUUCCUGUCCAACGUUAAUCGGGGCAGGGUGAGUCGACCCCUAAGGCGAGGCCGAAAGGCGUAGUCGAUGGGAAACGGGUUAAUAUUCCCGUACUUGGUGUUACUGCGAAGGGGGGACGGAGAAGGCUAUGUUGGCCGGGCGACGGUUGUCCCGGUUUAAGCGUGUAGGUGUGUGUUCCAGGUAAAUCCGGUUCACUUUAACACUGAGGCGUGACGACGAGGCACUACGGUGCUGAAGCAACAAAUGCCCUGCUUCCAGGAAAAGCCUCUAAGCAUCAGGUAACAUCAAAUCGUACCCCAAACCGACACAGGUGGUCAGGUAGAGAAUACCAAGGCGCUUGAGAGAACUCGGGUGAAGGAACUAGGCAAAAUGGUGCCGUAACUUCGGGAGAAGGCACGCUGACACGUAGGUGAAGUGAUUUACUCAUGGAGCUGAAGUCAGUCGAAGAUACCAGCUGGCUGCAACUGUUUAUUAAAAACACAGCACUGUGCAAACACGAAAGUGGACGUAUACGGUGUGACGCCUGCCCGGUGCCGGAAGGUUAAUUGAUGGGGUCAGCGCAAGCGAAGCUCCUGAUCGAAGCCCCGGUAAACGGCGGCCGUAACUAUAACGGUCCUAAGGUAGCGAAAUUCCUUGUCGGGUAAGUUCCGACCUGCACGAAUGGCGUAAUGAUGGCCAGGCUGUCUCCACCCGAGACUCAGUGAAAUUGAACUCGCUGUGAAGAUGCAGUGUACCCGCGGCAAGACGGAAAGACCCCGUGAACCUUUACUAUAGCUUGACACUGAACAUUGAGCCUUGAUGUGUAG
rnacentral:rRNA from 1 species